rnacentral:lncRNA from 1 species
GAGGAGAUUUCUUGGGUGGUGGAGGAGAGCUAUAGUAGUAUGGUGGAGGUGGUGACUUAACUGGUGGUGGUGGAGAAGUGUAGUGAUAUGGUGGAGGAGGUGAUUUCUUGGGUGGUGGAGGAGAGUUGUAGUAGUAUGGUGGAGGAGGUGACUUAACCGGCGGUGGUGGAGAAGUGUAGUGAUAUGGUGGAGGAGGUGAUUUCUUGGGUGGUGGAGGAGAGUUGUAGUAGUAUGGUGGAGGAGGUGACUUAACCGGCGGUGAUGGAUAAGUGUAGUAGUAGUAUGGUGGAGGAGGUGACUUAACCGGCGGUGAUGGAUAAGUGUAGUGAUAUGGUGGAGGAGGUGAUUUCUUGGGUGGUGGAGGAGAGCUAUAGUAGUAUGGUGGAGGAGGUGACUUAACCGGCGGUGGUGGAGAAGUGUAGUGAUACGGUGGAGGAGGUGAUUUCUUUGGUGGUGGAGGAGAGCUAUAGUAGUAUGGUGGGGGAG